rnacentral:tRNA from 1 species
GGAAGCGUGCCCGAAUACAAGGACUACUUUGAUAAAGUAGACAUGGGAUCAACAAAUUCCCCACUUCC